GACGAACGCUGGCGGCGUGCUUAACACAUGCAAGUCGAACGGAAAGGCCCUGCUUUUGUGGGGUGCUCGAGUGGCGAACGGGUGAGUAACACGUGAGUAACCUGCCCUGGACUUUGGGAUAACUUCAGGAAACUGGGGCUAAUACCGGAUAGGAGCUCCUGCUGCAUGGAGGGGGUGGGAAAGUUUCGGCGGUUGGGGAUGGACUCGCGGCUUAUCAGCUUGUUGGUGGGGUAGUGGCUUACCAAGGCUUUGACGGGUAGCCGGCCUGAGAGGGUGACCGGCCCCAUUGGGACUGAGAUGCGGCCCAGACUCCUACGCGAGGCAGCAGUGGGGAAUAUUGCACAAUGGGCGGAACCCUGAUGCAGCAACGCCGCGUGCGGGAUGACGGCCUUCGGGUUGUAAUCCGCUUUCGCCUGUGACGAAGCGUGAGUGACGGUAAUGGGUAAAGAAGCACCGGCUAACUACGUG
rnacentral:rRNA from 1 species